AUUAGUGGCGAACGGGUGAGUAACACGUGAGUAACCUGCCCUUGACUCUGGGAUAAGCCUGGGAAACUGGGUCUAAUACCGGAUAUGACUCCUCAUCGCAUGGUGGGGGGUGGAAAGCUUUUUGUGGUUUUGGAUGGACUCGCGGCCUAUCAGCUUGUUGGUGAGGUAAUGGCUUACCAAGGCGACGACGGGUAGCCGGCCUGAGAGGGUGACCGGCCACACUGGGACUGAGACACGGCCCAGACUCCUACGGGAGGCAGCAGUGGGGAAUAUUGCACAAUGGGCGAAAGCCUGAUGCAGCGACGCCGCGUGAGGGAUGACGGCCUUCGGGUUGUAAACCUCUUUCAGUAGGGAAGAAGCGAAAGUGACGGUACCUGCAGAAGAAGCGCCGGCUAACUACGUGCCAGCAGCCGCGGUAAUACGUAGGGCGCAAGCGUUAUCCGGAAUUAUUGGGCGUAAAGAGCUCGUAGGCGGUUUGUCGCGUCUGCCGUGAAAGUCCGGGGCUCAACUCCGGAUCUGCGGUGGGUACGGGCAGACUAGAGUGAUGUAGGGGAGACUGGAAUUCCUGGUGUAGCGGUGAAAUGCGCAGAUAUCAGGAGGAACACCGAUGGCGAAGGCAGGUCUCUGGGCAUAAC
rnacentral:rRNA from 1 species